rnacentral:rRNA from 1 species
GCGUGAGUGAGAAGGUUUUCGGAUCGUAAAACUCUGUUGGUAGAGAAGAACGUUGGUGAGAGUGGAAAGCUCAUCAAGUGACGGUAACUACCCAGAAAGGGACGGCUAACUACGUGCCAGCAGCCGCGGUAAUACGUAGGUCCCGAGCGUUGUCCGGAUUUAUUGGGCGUAAAGCGAGCGCAGGUGGUUUAUUAAGUCUGGUGUAAAAGGCAGUGGCUCAACCAUUGUAUGCAUUGGAAACUGGUAGACUUGAGUGCAGGAGAGGAGAGUGGAAUUCCAUGUGUAGCGGUG